CUUACUCAGUUCAUCUACAUUUAUAGACAUUUCCAUUAUCAUCCAGAUGAACAUCGUGACCUUUGACUUUGUCUGACGCAGCCAUGUGAACUCCUUAUCAGAAGCACACAAGGAAGACAAGCUACGCAUUGAAAGCUUGGAGAAGGAGUUGACAAAUUGCACCGAGGAAAUAGCAGGAGUUAAGAGAAGAGAAGUUGAAAGCAAAAAAGAAGAAGCAGAGGACCUUGCUUAAGAAAUGGCUGAGCUAAGGUACCAAAUUACUGAUUUGCUUGAAAAAGAGUCCAAGCGCGGGACUUGCAUCGAACAGGGCGUCUUUACUGAGGAAACACACACAUACUUUUAGGUGAUGAUGAGGAAAUAUGUUACGUUCCGUUCCAUGAAUGGAGUUAUGGUAUAAGAUUUAGCUCAUUGUUGCUGCAAUGAGGAAUAUGAAGUAGAUUUGCUUUGCCACGGUUCUUUCUGAUAGCUCUGAUUCUGAAUCUUUGAUCAGUGUCUAUUAGCAGUGUUGGUUUGUCAUAAUUUCCUCACUGUUAUAGAUAUAUAUGUAUUUGUUUUUGAAUUCACUCACUUCUUUGACACUCAUUUCUGUUUUGCCAAAUUAAGUGGCGGUGAGUCUGGUGACCUUUUUAUUCGGUACAUAAAUAAUGAUUGUAACAAUUUAUCUUUUUUU